rnacentral:miRNA from 1 species
UUAUGUUGGCACAAAAGUAAUUGUGGUUUUUGCCAUUGAAAGUAAUGGCAAAAACUGGAAUUACUUUUGCACCAAGCUGAUAA